GAUGAACGCUAGCGGGAGGCCUAACACAUGCAAGCCGAGCGGUAGAGAUUCUUCGGAAUCUUGAGAGCGGCGCACGGGUGCGGAACACGUGUGCAACCUGCCUUUAUCUGGGGGAUAGCCUUUCGAAAGGAAGAUUAAUACCCCAUAAUAUAUUGAGUGGCAUCACUUGAUAUUGAAAACUCCGGUGGAUAGAGAUGGGCACGCGCAAGAUUAGAUAGUUGGUGAGGUAACGGCUCACCAAGUCAAUGAUCUUUAGGGGGCCUGAGAGGGUGAUCCCCCACACUGGUACUGAGACACGGCCAGACUCUACGGGA
rnacentral:rRNA from 1 species